GACAGAGGUGCCGAGCGUUAGGCGGAAUCACUGGGCUUAAAGCGUGUGUAGGCGGACCGUUAAGUACCUUGUGAAAUCCCCCGGCUCAACCGUGGAACUGCUGGGUAUACUGGUUGUCUUGAGCCAGCUAGGGGCGAGCGGAACAGACGGUGGAGCGGUGAAAUGCGUAGAUAUCGUCUGGAACGCCGAAGGUGAAAACAGCUCGCUGGGGCUGCGCUGACGCUGAGACACGAAAGCCAGGGGAGCGAACGGG
rnacentral:rRNA from 1 species